GUGAACCUGCGGAGGGAUCAUUACAGAGUUGCAAAACUCCCUAAACCAUUGUGAACGUUACCUAUACCGUUGCUUCGGCGGGCGGCCCCGGGGUUUACCCCCCGGGCGCCCCUGGGCCCCACCGCGGGCGCCCGCCGGAGGUCACCAAACUCUUGAUAAUUUAUGGCCUCUCUGAGUCUUCUGUACUGAAUAAGUCAAAACUUUCAACAACGGAUCUCUUGGUUCUGGCAUCGAUGAAGAACGCAGCGAAAUGCGAUAAGUAAUGUGAAUUGCAGAAUUCAGUGAAUCAUCGAAUCUUUGAACGCACAUUGCGCCCGCCAGCAUUCUGGCGGGCAUGCCUGUUCGAGCGUCAUUUCAACCAUCAAGCCCCCGGGCUUGUGUUGGGGACCUGCGGCUGCCGCAGGCCCUGAAAAGCAGUGGCGGGCUCGCUGUCGCACCGAGCGUAGUAGCAUACAUCUCGCUCUGGUCGCGCCGCGGGUUCCGGCCGUUAAACCACCUUUUAACCCAAGGUUGACCUCGGAUCAGGUAGGAAGACCCGCUGAACUUAAGCAUAUC
rnacentral:rRNA from 1 species